rnacentral:rRNA from 1 species
GACGAACGCUGGCGGCGUGCUUAACACAUGCAAGUCGAACGGUGAAGGGACUGGUUUUUGCUGGUUCUGGAUGAGUGGCGAACGGGUGAGUAACACGUGAGUAACCUGCCCCCUUCUUCUGGAUAACCGCAUGAAAGUGUGGCUAAUACGGGAUAUUCUGUGUCUGUCGCAUGGUGGGCUCGGGAAAGAUAUUGUUUCGGUGGGGGAUGGGCUCGCGGCCUAUCAGCUUGUUGGUGGGGUGAUGGCCUACCAAGGCGGUGACGGGUAGCCGGCCUGAGAGGGUGGACGGUCACACUGGGACUGAGACACGGCCCAGACUCCUACGGGAGGCAGCAGUGGGGAAUAUUGCACAAUGGGCGCAAGCCUGAUGCAGCGACGCCGCGUGAGGGAUGGAGGCCUUCGGGUUGUGAACCUCUUUCGCCAGUGAAGCAGGCCUGCCCCUUGGUGGGUGGGUAGACGGAGCUGAUAAAAGCGCC